rnacentral:rRNA from 1 species
AUUGAACGCUGGCGGCAGGCCUAACACAUGCAAGUCGAGCGAUCGGCGGACGGGUGAGUAAUGUCUGGGAAACUGCCUGAUGGAGGGGGAUCACAACUGGAAACGGUAUCUAAUACCGCAUACCAUCAGAUGUGCCCAGAUGGGAUUAGCUGGUAGGUGGGGUAAAGGCUCACCUAGGCGACGAUCCCUAGCUGGUCUGAGAGGAUGACCAGCCACACUGUAACUGGUACAAGGUCCAGACUCCUACGGGAGGCAGCAGUGGGGAAUAGUGCACAAUGGGAGCAAGCCUGAUGCAGCCACGCCGCGUGUAUGAAGAAGGCCUUCGGGUUGUAAAGUACUUUCAGCGGGGAGGCGUUACCCGCAGAAGAAGCACCGGCUAACUCCGUGCCAGCAGCCGCGGUAAUUC